GUGAAUCAUCGAAUCUUUGAACGCAACUUGCGCUCUCUGGUAUUCCGGAGAGCAUGCCUGUUUGAGUGUCAUGAAAUCUCAACCAUUAGGGUUUCUUAAUGGCUUGGAUUUGGAGGUUGCCAUUCUGAAUGGCUCCUCUCAAAAGAGUUAGCGAGUUUAACUAUUGCUAUCUGGCGUAAUAAGUUUCGCUGGAAUGGUAUUGUGAAGCGCGCUUCUAAUCGUCUUCGGACAAUUACUUUGACUCUGGCCUCAAAUCAGGUAGGACUACCCGCUGAACUUAAGCAUAUCAAUAAGCGGAGGA
rnacentral:misc_RNA from 1 species